rnacentral:rRNA from 1 species
UGGGGAAUAUUGCACAAUGGGGGAAACCCUGAUGCAGCAACGCCGCGUGAGUGAUGACGGCCUUCGGGUUGUAAAGCUCUGUCUUCAGGGACGAUAAUGACGGUACCUGAGGAGGAAGCCACGGCUAACUACGUGCCAGCAGCCGCGGUAAUACGUAGGUGGCAAGCGUUGUCCGGAUUUACUGGGCGUAAAGGGAGCGUAGGCGGACUUUUAAGUGAGAUGUGAAAUACCCGGGCUCAACCUGGGUGCUGCAUUUCAAACCGGAAGUCUAGAGUGCAGGAGAGGAGAGUGGAAUUCCUAGUGUAGCGGUGAAAUGCGUAGAGAUUAGGAAGAACACCAGUGGCGAAGGCGACUCUCUGGACUGUAACUGACGCUGAGGCUCGAAAGCGCGGGGAGCAAACA